rnacentral:rRNA from 1 species
AAAAGAUUUAACAUCUUAAUUAAUUUCUUUAUUUAAUUAUUUUAACUUAUUUUAAAAGUAAAAAAACUUUUAUAUUUUAAAAAGACGACAAGACCCUAUUGAACUUAACUUAAGUUUAACUGGGGCAGUAAAUUAAUUAAUAUUUUAAUUAAAAUAUUGAUACAAAAAGCCUUAAAAUAUAUAAUUCAGUUACCAUAGGGAUAACAGCGUAAUUUUAUUUCAAAGACCUUAUUAAAAAUAAAGAUUGCGACCUCGAUGUUGAAUUAAUAACCUAAUUUAAGCAAAAUUUUAAACAGGAAGUCUGUUCGACUUUUAAAUAAUUACAUGAUUUGAGUUCAGACCGGCAUAAGCCAGGUCGGUUUCUAUCUCUUAAAAAAAUUUUUGUAGUACGAAAGGACCUAAAAAUAAAAUUUCAUUUAUUAAUUUGGCAGAUCAGUGCAUUAGAAUUAGAAUCUAAUUAUCUAACAAUUUUUUAAUUAAUUAUAUCCUAAUUACUAUUAGAAUUUUAAUUAGAGUUGCCUUUUAUACAAUUUUAGAACGAAAAAUUUUAGGGUAUAUACAAAUUCGAAAAGGUCCUAAUAAAGUAGGAAUAAUAGGGAUUCUUCAACCUUUUAGAGAUGCCUUAAAACUUUUUAAUAAAAAUCUAUUAUCACCUGAAAAUAAUAACAUUUUAUUAUCCUAUUUAACUCCAGCCAUAUCUAUAUUUAUAAGAAUUUUAUUAAUCCCUAUUAUAUCUUUUAAUUUAUAUUCACUAUUUGAUAAUAAACAUAGAAUCUUACUAUUUUUUAUUUUAUCUAGAAUAGCUGUAUAUUUUAUUCUAUUAAUUGGAUGAUCAGCAAACUCUAAGUACAGUCAUAUAGG